GAUGGCCAGAGUGCAUCUGAAAAUUUUACUAUUCUAGUGGUAAUAUAACACACCCAAUAUGCAGUGGAAUAGGGAUCAUAUCCCCAGAGGGUGGCAUGAUUUGAUGCCUCAUGAGAUCUGAACGCACAGACCCUCUACUUCGCGCACACGUCAGGCUUCGUAGGGAAGAGGAAUGAUUCUUUUUGUGCCUAUCUUCAGGAGGGAACAAAGGGAGGGAGGAGAUCUGAUUUCCUCUCCUUAGAGACUCCUAGAAGGGUGUCUUCACACCAGAAAACUAGCACCCAAAAAUCCCACACACC
rnacentral:lncRNA from 1 species